AUUUGCCUGAGUCUGAGCUAGGCAUUCAAGGAUGUUUUCACAGUCAAUAAAAAGAGAUCCUCUGAGCCUGUGACUCUUCUCUCCCUAACGUAGGAAUCUACUGUGAGGCAGCCAGAUGAAUUCAGGUGCUCUAAGUUCAGGCAAAGCAGAUGGUAUGAGUCUGAAAAGGAGAUGGAGACAAUUUGAAGAUUCACAGUUAAUCAGUGAGAAAGGAAAUAAUCUACAUCUGAGAGCUGAUUGUGGCCCAGUCCUGCACCUUUCCCUGGCAAUGAUCCAUGCAGGUGUCAAAGGAAAUCCUACCUGUACAGAGAGAAGCACAAGGCAUGCUUAUUAUUCAGUUAGAGGAACUGUCUUUUUUUUU
rnacentral:lncRNA from 1 species